rnacentral:hammerhead_ribozyme from 1 species
AUCCAGCUGACGAGUCCCAAAUAGGAUGAAAAGUGCGUCGUGGAU